GUUUCUUGGUGCUCAAUUUUUUCCGGUGGAAUGUGUAUUUGCAUCGCUUUGAUUAAUUCCAGAUUUCCAAACAUUGGAAGAGGUUAGCACAAAGAGACAUCCAGCUUUAUGACUGUAUUUAUUAUUUCUUUCUUCGUUGCAUAAAGUGAGUAUUGUCGUUGGACUACCGGCGUUCUGCGUCGAUUCCGUGAUAACUAGGAGAAGGCACGUAACGGUCGAUAAUAACGAUGCGGUUUAAAAUGGGCCGACGUGGCAGCGGCAAGUAUUUUCGUCCACGAAAUACCAAGAAAACGAGUUCGAGAGCCCAUACCGAUCACAGGAUGUUAUCAACGUACAUACGGAUUCUCUGCUGCGGUACUUCCGCAGUACGACACGCUGCGCACGCGAAACAGUGCACGAUGCAACUGCAGACGCUCAUCGUAUGUACGAUUAAGCGACAUUUUUAGCGGGAGCGACUAUAGUCGCUCGUAGAACCUGAGUAGCAUCACAUGGAAUUUUAAUUCGUAAUCAAGAUUCUCUAAUUCCUAUUUCAAUUUUUCUUUUUCAACCGUGCUGUCUAUUCUCUUAUCACGGUAUAAAUCUUUGUUUAUGUUUAUCAUUUUUAAUUUCUUUUAAAUUAUUAAAGAAAUAUAUUUUCUUUAUAUAUUUACUACUUAUGUAUAUAUGUAUAUACUGGUUGAAAGUAACUUGAUCAGUGCAAAUUCCGCUAUUGCCGUUCUACUACUAAUAACAUACAUAUCCAAACAUUAUAAAUUUAUAUGUAUGCGUGCAUUUAUGUAUGUAAAUGAAUGAUCCGAUAAGUGCAAAUAUAAGAUAUACAUAUUAUCAAGAAACAUGUAACUCUACUGUUAUAAUAAAAUACUGUACAUAUUACAUAUUAUAUAUAGGAAAAACGUGCGCACGUGUACGGUAAUUUGGAGUAAGACAAGCAAUAUAAGGUCGAGCAAGGAAAAAAAAGGUAUAAUAAUAAUCAUAAGAACAAAUAAUGAAUACAGGUGUUGUUAUAGCUGGUAUAGGUCAUCGGAGAUUUGGCAACAUCGCUAUGUAGCAUCGACGAUGGCAAUGGCGGCGGUAUGAUUCCGCUCCGCAAUCGCAACCGCACACCCGCCUUCUACUGGCCGCCAUGAUGCCAAGCGAAAUACGCCGUGCAACGGUUUCUCCGCAGUGACGCUCAAGCUGCCGUCAACGUAGCAACAACGUUACGCCAUUUGCGGUACCGCGUUUCCUACGAACAUGGAUUUGUAAAAACCCCUGCCACUAAAACGGUUCUUCUUCGUUUUGUUAUUUACAAAUCUAUAUAUAUAUAUAUAUACUUAUAUAUUUUUUUUUCGUCGUAUUUUAAUAACACAUCGUCGAUCGAUUCGGUUUACCUAUCCUCCCCCCCCCCUCAGUUCUUAGUUCAAUUUCUCUCGAUUUCUAUCGAUCUUCAAAUUUUUUAUUCAUAUUUAUAUUAUACGUGCGAAUUUUAAUGUAGUAAGAUCGAAUCUUUUGAAUUUGAUGAUCGCUUGGAACGAUUUACCGAGAGAGGGGAUAGAGUGACGAAGAGAGGAAGCGAGAGAGGGGAAAGAAAGAGAGAUAGAUAGAAAGAGAGAGAG